GACCACGUGGCCAAACUGGAUAAGGCUCCCGACUUCUGAUCGGAGGAUUGCGAGUUCGAAUCUCGUCGUGGUCU